CCCUUAGAUGUUCUGGGCCGCACGCGCGCUACACUGACGAAUGCAACGAGCUUAUAACCUUGGCCGAAAGGUCUGGGUAAUCUCCAAAUUUCGUCGUGAUGGGGAUAGAUUAUUGCAAUUAUUAAUCUUCAACGAGGAAUGCCUAGUAAGCGCAAGUCAUCAGCUUGCGUUGAUUACGUCCCUGCCCUUUGUACACACCGCCCGUCACUCCUACCGAUUGAAUGGUCCGGUGAAGCGUUCGGACCGUGGCCUUUGGACGGUUCGCCGUCUGUUGGCUGCGGGAAGUUCGUUAAACCUUNUNAUUUAUNGGAAGGAGAANUCGUANCA
rnacentral:rRNA from 1 species